GACGAACGCUGGCGGCGUGCUUAACACAUGCAAGUCGAACGAUGAGGAAAAGAAUUGAAGCUUCGGCAGAAAUUCAUUUCGGAUUAGUGGCAGACGGGUGAGUAACGCGUGAGCAACCUACCUCUUACAAAGGGAUAGCCUCGGGAAACCGGGAUUAAUACCAUAUAACAUUGCGACGAAGCAUUUCGAUGCAAUCAAAGCUACGGCGGUAAGAGAUGGGCUCGCGUCCCAUUAACCAGAUGGUGAGGUAACGGCUCACCAUAGUAACGAUGGGUAACCGGCCUGAGAGGGUGAACGGUCACACUGGAACUGAGACACGGUCCAGACUCCUACGGGAGGCAGCAGUGGGGAAUAUUGCACAAUGGAGGGAACUCUGAUGCAGCGACGCCGCGUGAGUGAUGAAGGAAUUCGUUUCGUAAAACUCUGUUCUAUGGGAAGAAAAGGACUGUACCAUAGGAGAAAGCGCCGGCUAAAUACGUG
rnacentral:rRNA from 1 species